rnacentral:rRNA from 1 species
AUUGAACGCUGGCGGCAGGCCUAACACAUGCAAGUCGAGCGGAUGAAGGGAGCUUGCUCCUGGAUUCAGCGGCGGACGGGUGAGUAAUGCCUAGGAAUCUGCCUGGUAGUGGGGGAUAACGUCCGGAAACGGGCGCUAAUACCGCAUACGUCCUGAGGGAGGAAGUGGGGAUCUUCGGACCUCACGCUAUCAGAUGAGCCUAGGUCGGAUUAGCUAGUUGGUGGGGUAAAGGCCUACCAAGGCGACGAUCCGUAACUGGUCUGAGAGGAUGAUCAGUCACACUGGAACUGAGACACGGUCCAGACUCCUACGGGAGGCAGCAGUGGGGAAUAUUGGACAAUGGGCGAAAGCCUGAUCCAGCCAUGCCGCGUGUGUGAAGAAGGUCUUCGGAUUGUAAAGCACUUUAAGUUGGGAGGAAGGGCAGUAAGUUAAUACCUUGCUGUUUUGACGUUACCAACAGAAUAAGCACCGGCUAACUUCGUG